rnacentral:rRNA from 1 species
AGAAUCAACGCUGGCGGCGUGCCUAACACAUGCAAGUCGCACGAGAAAGCGGGAGCAAUCCUGUGAGUAAAGUGGCGUACGGGUGAGUAACACGUGAAUCAUCUACCUUCGAGUGCGGAAUAACUGAGAGAAAUCUUAGCUAAUACCGCAUAAUACCCACGGGUCAAAGCAGCAAUGCGCUUGAAGAGGAGUUCGCGGCAGAUUAGUUAGUUGGCGGGGUAAUGGCCCACCAAGACGAUGAUCUGUAUCCGGCCUGAGAGGGCGCACGGACACACUGGAACUGAAACACGGUCCAGACUCCUACGGGAGGCAGCAGUGGGGAAUUUUGCGCAAUGGGGGAAACCCUGACGCAGCAACGCCGCGUGGAGGAUGAAAUCCCUUGGGAUGUAAACUCCUUUCGAUAGGGAAGAUAAUGACGGUACCUGUAGAAGAAGCCCGGCUAACUUCGCGCCAGCAGCCGCGGUAA